GCGCGGUGCUCGGGAAACCAGCAAUGUACAUCACUGACUUGAUCCAGCUUGUCUCUACACAAUCUUUCUUCAUUAGUCCAAGCUGUGGGAAACUCCUCUGCAUCACCUGUGAAAAAAACAAGGUUGAAAUUGUCAUAAUCAAAAUUUUUUUCCUAAAUUCGUGAUAAACUUAUAACCCAGACUUUCAUAAUAUUUCAAUAUAAACCCGCCAGGUUACCUGCAUGAGCCUAUUAACGUCACCAAGAAACUGGCCUUGGUACGAAACUGAGAUAGUUCUUUCUUUGCUUUUAGGGGUCUUGCUCGCCGGCUGUAUGAUCGCGCGGAUAAAGAGAUCUUCGUCGAGCUUGUCUGCGACUUGUUGCCAUUUGUACAAGAUCCUAGUUCCGUCUUGCUCUAACGUCUUCGUGACAGUGAACACCGUCACUGUCUCCGGCACAGG
rnacentral:lncRNA from 1 species